GUGGGGAAAUAGCUGUUUAACAUUUGCAGUAAAGUGAGCUCUAAGCCAAAGACAGAAGAAGUACUACUGCAUUGAAGAGCUAUUUACAAUAUUGCCAGAAGAAAUUAAAACAAAAACUUUUCUAAAAGAGAGGAUUGACAGUAAAUGUGAGAUACAUCAGAAGCCUUAAUGAGUUUUUUCAUCUUUAUGAACAAACUUUGAUUAAAUAUUACUAAGCAAACUGUUCUAUUACUAAAACACAUUUUCAGUAGACCUUUCACACUUUAACUAUUCUUUCAAAUAAAAAGCAAAGACAGCACACUGCAAAGAAGAGCACCAAAAUAGCUAUACUUAUCAACAAAAUUAUAUCACCUUACCCUUCAGAAGAAAGCUGUGGGGCUGGAAAAGUAAGGAGCUCUUUGAAAAAAAUUGCUAGAGACAUAUUAAGUCCAAACUACCUCCAUAUGUGCUGUCUGUUGGAUUAUAAGAAGUACUAACACCUGUAGCUGAAAGCUUGUUGGGCUGGGGUUAUUAUAUUUUCAUCAUCUGUGUUUGUGGUUUUCUUCAUACCAUUUUCUUUUAAACUUUAUUUUAAAGUGGAAGUAGGAGCGUUGUGUCUGUGUUGGUGUUUUUAUGGGUGUGUGGUUAGUCAACAUUCCCAAAAAUCUGACCCUGACUGUAGUAAGCACGUAGGCAGUGUCCCAUGGGAGGGAAAAUUGCUGAGUGCAAGUUCUGGCAAGACAAAAAUGAACUUAAGAGGAUAUUUAUAUGAGAUUAUAUUAUAUUAUACAAGUCUUUCAGUAGCUGAAGUAUUCAGGAUCUGUGCCUCUUCCAUUCCUUCUGAGUUACUGGGCUGGCCUCAUCAUCUCUGAUAGACGUGUACUUGCUUUCCAAUACUGAAUUCCCUUGGAUAAGGUCUUCUCACUGCUGCCAAGAAGCAGAGACACCUACAAGUCCUUGAAAUGUGUCUUCUGAAGCACUAAGUAUGGGGUCACAGACCCUGUUAAUAUAGGAUGGUACAAACAUAAGAGCUUUUCUAUAAGUACACUGGCUGUCAUCCUCUGCCUGAGAAAACCCCAUUCAUAAGUGGACAGCUGUGCCUUGGACUGGGCACAAGUUUAAAUGGUAAGGUCAUAGACUGGUAAAACAUUUUAGUUUUAUUAAAUUGUGGCAGUCACGUCCCUCUUUUUUUGUCAGCUGGACAAGUUUCUGUUGUUUGGUUGUGUGGGGUGGUUUUUUUUCUCUUCCUGUGCCCUUGGGUAUUUUUGGGUUAGUGAGCUCUGAAAGCAAAAAUAAGCAACAAGAAGCAGCAAUUAUCAAGAGAGCAGACUGAGCAAACAGUGGAUCUUUUUACCAUAAGUCUUCCUUCCUCAGAAUGACAUAUCAGACUUCAAUGAUCUCGUUAGCUUGCAUGAGAGAUGGGAAAUGCCUGCCAGAAGCUGAUUUCUGCUGGCCAACUUAAGUGGACAUGAUGAUGCAGUGUCUCAGCCUGCUGCUCCUGCAAGGCUGUGUUUUCUUUGGGAUAAGUUGUGCAAGGCAACAGGGCUUCAGGCUCAUUAGCUCAGUUACAGGUAUAAUUAAGCACAACUGAAGAGAAGCUUUAGCUCCACAUUUAUUUUUAGGUGGAAGAGAUUCCAAUAAGAAUUCUUAAGGAUAAGGUAUCUUAUUAGAUCUAUUAACAGAGUUUUAAAGAUUUUUGAAGUUUCCUUUGCUCAAACUAGGAACAGCCUAUAUGCACAUUCUGACAUGAACUUGAUUUUCAGCUUCUCCUUAGAGUUUAAGACUUAGAAGUUUGUUUGAUAUACAGUCAGACAAAAAUACAAGGAUUAAUCAGGUGAACUGACCCUAUCAAAUAAAAACUUUUAUUUCAGUUAUAAGCAAAAGGUUUCUCUUAGAUUACUAAGGCACAGAAUCAAGGACUCAGUAAAUUCCUAGAGAUUAAAAAAGGAAAAUCUAAUUGAAACCACUUCAAUCAGUAGUUCAAGUAACCAACCCUUGCCUCCUUUCCCUUCUGCUGCAAGAUUCUUAAUUCAAAUAGUACAUGACAAUCCAGCAUCUGCUUGUAGACAUAAAUAAAGAGAAACAAUGGUCCCAGGGCAGAUUGUUGUGGAAAAAUUUGCUAAGGCUUAAAACUGGGUGAUAGGGAGUUUGAAGUGAGAUUGCUUUGUGUUUGAAAUACUGUGGGGAGAGACUUUUCCUCAUACUGCUGUCAUGGGUUCACACUCAGUUCCACAUGGUGUUUCCAUAGUUGUCUGCAUUCUUCCCCCCCUUAAUGCUGACAGAUUAUAAAGGAGUGGAUCAGGUUUCCAAAUUACUUCUUUUCCUUAUAUCUAUGUCAUUAUUUGUAUCAGUGAACAAGCAGCAGCCUGAUCUGGUAAAGAAGAAAGUGAAAAAAUCGUCUGGAGAAGACUGAAAUACAUGAAAAUCCUGAAACACAUCACAGGCUGAAGAGGGUGAUUAAUUGAGGUCCUCUCUGUCAGUGCCAUGCCUCUGUCCCCUGUUAAUGGUGAGAUUCCCACUAUCAGCUAUGGCAACAGGUACAGCCUUCUCAAGGCAGACUGAUUAAGAAACACACACUAAUAUGGCAUGUUCUAUGUGAUAAUUUAGUAAAAUAUUACCAUAACACAAGUGAAAAAAUGUUAGUUUGUUAGUGCCAACUGUAGAAUUGAAACUUCUACCCAGUCUUCAACCCCACAGGGCUUGUGCCCUUUGGGAUGAUACUGCUUUCUCUUGGUGAAA